rnacentral:rRNA from 1 species
UACAGAGGGUGCAAGCGUUGUUCGGAAUCAUUGGGCGUAAAGGGCGUGUAGGCGGUUUGUUAAGUCAUGUGUGAAAUCCCUCGGCUCAACCGGGGAACGACGCAUGAAACUGGCAAGCUAGAGCACCAAAGAGGGCGGUGGAAUUCCCGGUGUAGCGGUGAAAUGCGUAGAGAUCGGGAGGAACACCAAUGGCGAAAGCAGGUAACUGGACUAUUACUGACACUCAGCUGCGAAAGCUAGGGGAGCAAACAGG